UACGUAGGGGGCAAGCGUUAUCCGGAUUUACUGGGUGUAAAGAGAGCGUAGACGGCUGUGCAAGCCAGAUGUGAAAGCCCGGGGCUCAACCCCGGGACUGCAUUUGGAACUGUGUAGCUGGAGUGUCGGAGAGGCAGGCGGAAUUCCUAGUGUAGCGGUGAAAUGCGUAGAUAUUAGGAGGAACGCCAGUGGCGAAGGCGGCCUGCUGGACGAUGACUGACGUUGAGGCUCGAAAGCGUGGGGAGCAAACAGG
rnacentral:rRNA from 1 species